rnacentral:rRNA from 1 species
GAUUAACGCGAAGAACCUUACCUACCCUUGACAUGGCCGGAAUCCCGCUGAGAGGUGGGAGUGCUCGAAAGAGAACCGGCGCACAGGUGCUGCAUGGCUGUCGUCAGCUCGUGUCGUGAGAUGUUGGGUUAAGUCCCGCAACGAGCGCAACCCUUGUCCUUAGUUGCUACGCAAGAGCACUCUAAGGAGACUGCCGGUGACAAACCGGAGGAAGGUGGGGAUGACGUCAAGUCCUCAUGGCCCUUAUGGGUAGGGCUUCACACGUCAUACAAUGGUCGGAACAGAGGGUUGCCAACCCGCGAGGGGGAGCUAAUCCCAGAAAACCGAUCGUAGUCCGGAUUGCACUCUGCAACUCGAGUGCAUGAAGCUGGAAUCGCUAGUAAUCGCGGAUCUGCAUGCCGCGGUGAAUACGUUUCCCGGGCCUUGUACACACCGAAUC